rnacentral:rRNA from 1 species
UACGUAGGGUGCGAGCGUUGUCCGGAAUUACUGGGCGUAAAGAGCUCGUAGGUGGUUUGUCGCGUUGUCCGUGAAAACUCACAGCUCAACUGUGGGCGUGCGGGCGAUACGGGCAGACUGGAGUACUGCAGGGGAGACUGGAAUUCCUGGUGUAGCGGUGGAAUGCGCGGAUAUCAGGAGGAACACCGGUGGCGAAGGCGGGUCUCUGGGCAGUAACUGACGCUGAGGAGCGAAAGCGUGGGGAGCGAACAGG